ACUCCUACGGGAGGCAGCAGUGGGGAAUAUUGCACAAUGGGCGCAAGCCUGAUGCAGCCAUGCCGCGUGUGUGAAGAAGGCCUUCGGGUUGUAAAGCACUUUCAGUCGUGAGGAAGGUAGUGUAGUUAAUAGCUGCAUUAUUUGUACGUUAGCGACAGAAGAAGCACCGGCUAACUCCGUGCCAGCAGCCGCGGUAAUACGGAGGGUGCGAGCGUUAAUCGGAAUUACUGGGCGUAAAGCGCAUGCAGGUGGUUUGUUAAGUCAGAUGUGAAAGCCCGGGGCUCAACCUCGGAAUAGCAUUUGAAACUGGCAGACUAGAGUACUGGUAGAGGGGGUUAGAAUUUCAGGUGUAGCGGUGAAAUGCGUAGAGAUCGUGAAGGAAUACCGGUGGCGAAGGCGGCCCCGUGGACAGAUACUGACACUCAGAUGCGAAA
rnacentral:rRNA from 1 species